GAGAGGAAGCUUGCUUCCUCAAUCGAGUGGCGAACGGGUGAGUAACGCGUGAGGAACCUGCCUCAAAGAGGGGGACAACAGUUGGAAACGACUGCUAAUACCGCAUAAGCCCACAGCUCGGCAUCGAGCAGAGGGAAAAGGAGCAAUCCGCUUUGAGAUGGCCUCGCGUCCGAUUAGCUAGUUGGUGAGGUAACGGCCCACCAAGGCGACGAUCGGUAGCCGGACUGAGAGGUUGAACGGCCACAUUGGGACUGAGACACGGCCCAGACUCCUACGGGAGGCAGCAGUGGGGAAUAUUGCACAAUGGGGGAAACCCUGAUGCAGCGACGCCGCGUGGAGGAAGAAGGUCUUCGGAUUGUAAACUCCUGUUGUUGAGGAAGAUAAUGACGGUACUCAACAAGGAAGUGACGGCUAACUACGUGCCAGCAGCCGCGGUAAAACGUAGGUCACAAGCGUUGUCCGGAAUUACUGGGUGUAAAGGGAGCGCAGGCGGGAAGACAAGUUGGAAGUGAAAUCUAUGGGCUCAACCCAUAAACUGCUUUCAAAACUGUUUUUCUUGAGUAGUGCAGAGGUAGGCGGAAUUCCCGGUGUAGCGGUGGAAUGCGUAGAUAU
rnacentral:rRNA from 1 species